rnacentral:rRNA from 1 species
UAAGGGCGCACGGUGGAUGCCUUGGCACUAGAAGCCGAUGAAGGACGUUACUAACGACGAUAUGCUUUGGGGAGCUGUAAGUAAGCUUUGAUCCAGAGAUUUCCGAAUGGGGAAACCCAGCAUGAGUUAUGUCAUGUUAUCGAUAUGUGAAUACAUAGCAUAUCAGAAGGCACACCCGGAGAACUGAAACAUCUUAGUACCCGGAGGAAGAGAAAGAAAAUUCGAUUCCCUUAGUAGCGGCGAGCGAAACGGGAAGAGCCCAAACCAACAAGCUUGCUUGUUGGGGUUGUAGGACACUCUAUACGGAGUUACAAAGGACGACAUUAGACGAAUCAUCUGGAAAGAUGAAUCAAAGAAGGUAAUAAUCCUGUAGUCGAAAAUGUUGUCUCUCUUGAGUGGAUCCUGAGUACGACGGAGCACGUGAAAUUCCGUCGGAAUCUGGGAGG